rnacentral:rRNA from 1 species
UACGAAGGGGGCUAGCGUUGCUCGGAAUCACUGGGCGUAAAGCGCACGUAGGCGGAUUGUUAAGUCAGGGGUGAAAUCCUGGAGCUCAACUCCAGAACUGCCUUUGAUACUGGCGACCUUGAGUCCGGGAGAGGUGAGUGGAACUGCGAGUGUAGAGGUGAAAUUCGUAGAUAUUCGCAAGAACACCAGUGGCGAAGGCGGCUCACUGGCCCGGUACUGACGCUGAGGCACGAAAGCGUGGGGAGCAAACAGG